rnacentral:rRNA from 1 species
CCUACGGGCGUCAGCAGUGGGGAAUAUUGGGCAAUGGAGGCAACUCUGACCCAGCAACGCCGCGUGAAUGAUGAAGGUCCUCGGAUUGUAAAGUUCUGUGAUGGGGGAUGAACACAAUGACGGUACCCCAAUAGCAAGCCACGGCUAACUACGUGCCAGCAGCCGCGGGAAUACGUAGGGGGCAAGCGUUAUCCGGAAUGACUGGUCGUAAAGGGUGCGUAGGGGGUUUAGUAAGUUGGCGGGGUAAUUCCGGGGCUCAACCUCGGCGCUACCGCCAAAACUAUUAGACUAGAGUGCAGGAGGGGUAAGUGGAAUUCGUAGUGUAGCGGUGGAAUGCGUAGAUAUUAGGAGGAACAUCGGGGGCGAAGGCGACUUACUGGACUGUAACUGACGCUGAGGCUCGAAAGUGUGGGUAUCAAACAGGAUUAGAUACCCCUGUAGUC